UAAUAGCUCAGUUGGUAGAGCAUGGGACUCAUAAUCUCAGGUUCAUGGGUUCAAAUCCCACCUUGGAAGAU